GCGCGAAAACUUUACAAUGCUGGCAACAGCGAUAAGGGAACCUCGAGUGCCAGGUUACAAAUCUGGCUGUCGAGAUGCCUAAAAAGCAUUUCAUAGCAAGGGCCAGGCAAGACCGGUGCCAGCCGCCGCGGUAACACCGGCGGCUCGAGUGGUAACCGUUAUUAUUGGGUCUAAAGGGUCUGUAGCCGGCCGGAUAAGUCUCUUGAGAAAUCUGGCAGCUUAACUGUCAGGCUUUCAGGAGAUACUGUCUGGCUCGAGGCCGGGAGAGGUGAGAGGUACUUCAGGGGUAGGGGUGAAAUCUUGUAAUCCUUGAAGGACCACCAGUGGCGAAGGCGUCUCACCAGAACGGACCUGACGGCAAGGGACGAAAGCUAGGGGCACGAACCGGAUUAGAGACCCCUG
rnacentral:rRNA from 1 species